GGAAACUAGAGUCCGUCACAAACAGGAAUUGCUUGAGGCCGCAGAGAGUGGGCUGACGGACUGUCACUCCCGACUCACAGGCUAAUGACCCUGCAAUCCCGGCUGCGCACAGACAGCAGCAGGGGGAUGUCUUAUCUUCCUACUGGCUGGAGACUGAGGCAAUCUCGGGCACAGUGCAGUUCGCCAGCUACUUUACCUGCACUGCCUCUUUCCCCUCCUCAGUAGUUUCUCAUGGGCGGGGACCAAGUCUUCCUUCGUUUUCCAGAGCCAUAGAUAGGAGUAGCUUUGAUACUUGUUCUCAUCGUGUGGUCCUGGGGAAGUUACUCAGCUACUUAGAGCCGUUUCUUCAGUGUCCUGACCUUUGCAGAGUCUGCAAAUGCAAGAACUUCCCACGUCCAGUUGGCUCUCAAGAACCGCGAUGCUUGGAAAAGGAUUCCAGCCCCUACAGAUGAGUCCCCGGGGCUGUGGGGCGGGGCAGGACCCUGUCCUUCACCCCGCCCGUCCUAGGCACCGCUGAGUCCUUGCAUCAGGUGGCCACAUCACCCUCAUUUUGCCGGAUACAAGGCCAGUAGGAAAGACAGCUCAUAGCAGAAGAAUAAGUCCAGCCAACUCUCCUUGUUUGGAAUUCUCUUCUACCUAGUGUUUCUCCCUGCUGCCCAGGAGAAAUACUCUUUUUGGACCAGAAUUCAUGUGCAGUAGCUUCCACAAAC
rnacentral:lncRNA from 1 species